rnacentral:lncRNA from 10 species
GUGGAGGGGGCGGCAUUGGGAGAGAGAGACAAGGGGUCCGAGGGCCCCGCCCGGGGCCUGCCCAGCCUGCCCUGAUUAAAAAAAACAACAAACUGAGCAAAUUAGGUGCAGAAGGAAUGUACCUCAACAUAAAAGUGUACAAAUUUCAGUUAUGCAUGAUAAGGGGGGACUUACUUCUGGCAUUUUGCUAUACAUUUUCUAUAUGCCUUACAGCAUUUUUGUCCAUUUCCUGCAUGAUCUCAUUUGUAUUUAGUUGAUUUUUUGUAGCGAAGUGUUUUAAUUCCAAAAAAAAGAAAACUGGACACUUGAAUAUAAUAAUGCAGUAACUCUGGAGAUGAGACUCUCCUCUUCCUCAGGGUUUGCUGUUUUGGAUUAUAUUUCAUAUAUAAUUAUAUAUAUUAUAUUAUAUAUAAUAUCUGUAUAAUAAUAUAUAUUAUUACAUAUAAUUAUAUUAUAUUACAUUAUAUUAUAUAUAUCAUAAUAUAUUAUAUAAUAUAUAUAAUAUUGUAUUAUUUAAUAAUAUAUAAUAUAUUCUGGCCAUUACAGUGAAACCCUGUCUCUACUACAAAUACAAAAAAUUAGCCAGGCAUGGUGGCAGCUGGUGUAGUCCCAGUGUGAAUUGGGAUUCAGUUUAUUCAGUUUAUUCCCAAAUUCCAAAUUAUAUAUAUAUAUAUAUAAUUUCCUUUUACAUCCUGCAUCCUUCAACGUUCCAUCCCCCACCCCACAGAUUAAGUUAUUCCCCAGGGGAGAA